rnacentral:rRNA from 1 species
AACGAACGCUGGCGGCAUGCCUAACACAUGCAAGUCGAACGAGACCUUCGGGUCUAGUGGCGCACGGGUGCGUAACGCGUGGGAACCUGCCCUUAGGUUCGGAAUAACUCCCCGAAAGGGGUGCUAAUACCGGAUAAUGUCUUCGGACCAAAGAUUUAUCGCCUUUGGAUGGGCCCGCGUUGGAUUAGCUAGUUGGUAGGGUAAAAGCCUACCAAGGCGACGAUGCAUAGCUGGUCUGAGAGGAUGAUCAGCCACACUGGGACUGAGACACGGCCCAGACUCCUACGGGAGGCAGCAGUGGGGAAUAUUGGACAAUGGGCGAAAGCCUGAUCCAGCAAUGCCGCGUGAGUGAUGAAGGCCUUAGGGUUGUAAAGCUCUUUUACCCGGGAUGAUAAUGACAGUACCGGGAGAAUAAGCACCGGCUAACUCCGUG